GCGUGACUAUUUGUAAAUUGCAUUUGUUUGAUAGUGUGGCUUGUAUGCUUUGCUUAAUGUCUGCUUGUAUAACUUGUGUUUUAUGUCACGAUUAUUGCUUUGUUGUUUGGUGAAUGUGAACAGACCUAGCACUAUUCUUUUUUCUGAACUUUUUUGUGAUUAUGUCCUAUGUGGAUAUCAUAUUCUUUUUUUAUAUUACUGUUGUCCCGUCACUGGAAUAAUACUUUUCUAAGUAUUUAAGGUACAGACAUUGGAUCUGGACAUGUCACAUUGGCUCUUUAUUGUGUUGCUAAGGACACUGAUGGGUUAGAUUUGCAUACAACGCAGUAUCGACGAACAAAAUGGUCUCAUUGCAAGGUCACUACCUGGACGCAUAGGCAAGCAAUGUCAAGAGAGGUGGCAUAAUCAUCCGAAUCCAGACAUACAGAGAGAUGCUUGGACUACUGAGGAGGAACAUGCAUUGAUUAAUGCGCAUCGGGUAUAUGGGAAUAAAUGGGCAAAAAUAGCAAAUGUUCUUCCUAGAAGGAGUGGGGUAUUUCCAGUUGUGUAACUUCUAUUUGUUAUUCGUUCUUCUCACCUAUAGCUAAAGUCAAAGACGACAAACCAGGUGAAUUAUUGGAGUUGCAAAUACACAGAAUCAGU